UCUUCCCCUCCCACUCCCCUGCUUGUGUUCCCUCUCUCACUGGCUGUCUCUCUCUGUCAAAUCAAUAAAUAAAAUCUUAAAAAAAAAAAAAGGAGUCUCUCUAGAUAUCACCUGCUCUGAUCCCAUGGUAGCUUCUUGUCCCACAUUGUGGCACCUGUACUUUCCUAAGCUGAGGGCCUAAGCUUCCCAGAAGAAAAUGGGUUUGAUUUCAAAGGACUCUUUCGGCUGCCUUCUGGGUCUCAGAAUUCCAUGAACGUAUUCACCAAAAGGGUCCUGAGCCCCCACUAUGUGGCAGGUGCUGUGCCACGUGCAGGGGAGGCAAGGACAGGAAGCGGCAUGUGGGGGGUGGGGAGCUGCCAUCUCUGAGGGAGAUGUGAAGCCAAGAGAGGGAAGUGAGCAGCCUAGGCCCGAAGUCUGAGGAAGGCUCCAGGUCCUGAGGUCCUUAGCGAGAGGCCGCGAAAGCAAACUCACCCCGUCCUUUGACCAGGGGACAAUGUCUGCGGAAGUAAAAACUGUGGCAUCCAAUGACCUGAGUUUAGAACCCGAAGUGACCUCAGGGCACUGGAAUGUUCCCCAAUCCAGCAAGGUCUUAGUGAAUCGGUUGGAGGGCAUAGAGCUGCUGGUGCCUUUUCUCAUCCCAGAGGCAGCAGGUGGAGGCAGGGCUCCUCUGCAUGGAUACACCUGGAUGAAGCAGGAAGAAUGUGGGUUCCAAACACUUGAGGCCAAAGCACCGCCUGGAAAGACCUCUCCAGAGGCAUCGUGAGAGGAAGGCUCUGAGGUCAAGUUGUUGGACAAAUGGCAGAAGACAGAGAAAAACAAGAAGAAAACAGAGAAGGUUUGACCCAAUCCUCACCCUCUGCCUGAUUCUCUCUCUUUCUCCCACCUCCUGGAAGCUGGACAGGAGACACUACCUGGCCGCAUUUGGACUGUUUUAGGAAGGUGAAUACAGCACAAGCCUGACCCCUUAUUUGGACCCUUAUCUAUCGUGGGAGAGAAACUUCUUUUAGGAUGUGCUCAUUGGAGCUUCUGCUCUUACAAAAGGAUGGGAGCACCCCCCUCCCCACCACCAAGUGGGUUGGCGGCCCCUCUGCAGGGAGGAUGCUUUUAGCACCUCAGGGUGCUGAGGCUGAUGGGAACCUGCAUGCGCGGAGAGAAUGGAGCAGCUCUCCUCCUUACAUUGAUUUAGGCUGAUUUUCACUGUUAGACUCUUUAAUAAAAGCUCUGGAGUGGGUUGCCAUGGUUAUGCUGGUUUUAACAGUUAGGAAAUUAGGGCUAAGUGGUUUCCCUUGGGCCUGGCAGCUUUUAGCUGCUGCAUUUGGAUUUUUAAUCUCUCCUGCUGGGAGACGCUGCUCUGCAGGGGGGAAAGGAUCGCAAACAGGUGUGUCCUGGAAGCCACUGGAGAGGUGGGUGAACUUGAUAUGAAAGAACUUAUGCUUUUUCCAUAGAUAGGAGGUAAGAAAGGGUUAGACAGCUUCAUCUGAAUCCCAGCUUCGUCAUAAACCACCUGUGUGACUGUGAGCAAAUGGUCUACCCAACCUCUCAGAGAAAUGUAUGAACUCAUAGGGUUGAAUAAGACGGUGUGGGACCCAUGGGAAACUUCCAGGUUGUGCUGGUCCACCAGGUGCAUGUGAUCGCAGGGGCUCCUAGAAUAACCCCCAGAUGCUGGUCUCCAUGCCAUCCUGAUUUUCAAGAGAAGGGAACGGAAGCAGGAGCUCAAGGACUUCUGACUAAGACUGACGUGUGUGUACCUGCUUCUGCUUUUCUGCAGGGUGGGGGUGGGAGGUUGGGGGGGCAGGGCUCUCCCUGUCCACUCUCUCUGUGGUACUUUUUGCUGCCUUCUCCUCAGACCA